ensembl:processed_transcript
AGGUACUCCAUUGUCUGACGGAUCUGAGAACGCUGUCUGGGCUUCGUGCCAAGGGCUGGUAUUCACACAGCAACGACGGCCUCACAGAAGAGCUGUGGGAAGCAGGAGGGCGAGCCUCUCUUAGGGUGCCACUACUAUGGAGACACAGCUGGGCUGAACAAGAUUUGCUUCAAACGACAACAAGAGAGACAGAAAGUAUCUGAUUCAACCGCUGCCCAAGCAGGCAGGCACCAGAAGAGCUAGCAGCCAAUCCGGCCAUGCUCGAAGCCAGUCCUGCAGCUCAGCCAAUCAGUGACAUCAUUGGACAUCUCUUCAGAUUGCUCAUCAUGAUAUGAAGAUGAAACUUAAUAGCAAUAACCAAUGGAUGCUUUUCUUGGAUUCAGUCCAACACUCUGGAGACCAGAUCUUCAGGAAUGUAACUGGGAUAAUUGUCCAAAUCGAAUCCCAUGCCCUGUCAUGCAUACCAGAAUAGGAGUCCUGUCUUAACUGAGCAAUAUACACUAUGGAGAGAUCCUUCAAAACCCGUCGGGACGAAUAACAGAUGAAUUCAUAAAACUGUUCAUCUCUGUUAUCCUGAAUGGUCACUCAGACAACAUUUUACUCAACUAUAAAGGGGAACACUUAAAGUGCAUAUGAGAAGAGAAGAGAAUGACCACAGGAGAAAAUCAU